rfam:Aspergillus rambellii strain SRRC1468 contig00130, whole genome shotgun sequence.
GGCCGAGUAGCCCAAUGGUAGGGCGUUCGCUUCCGGGUUACAGACCGCGAAAGGUUGCGUGUUCGAGUCACGUCUUGGUCG